GGCAUGGUGGCUUAGUGGUUAGCACGUUUGCCGCGCAUCUCUGGGGGGUUGGGGGUUUGAAUCCCGCCUCUGCCC